rnacentral:SRP_RNA from 1 species
AUCCGGGUCCUGCGCAAUGGGAGUCUUCGAACCGUGUCAGGGCAGGAAUGCAGCAGCACUAAGAGGAAUAUCUCAUGUGCCGCAGGUUGGCCUGGAUCCA